GCAGCUGUGGCCGAGUGGUUAGGCGAUGGACUAGAAAUCCAUUGAUACUCUCCGCGUAGGUUCCGAAUCCUACCGGCUGUG